CCCUUAGAUGUUCUGGGCCGCACGCGUGCUACACUGAGUGGAUCAGCGGGUCAGGUUGCGCGAAAGUGUUUCCUAAUCUUGAAAUCCGCUCGUGAUGGGGAUUGACGGUUGCAAUUUUCCGACAUGAACGAGGAAUACCUUGUAAGCGCGGGUCAUCAUCCCGCGCUGAAUACGUCCCUGCCCUUUGUACACACCGCCCGUCGCUCCUACCGAUUGAGUGGUCCGGUGAGGCUUUGGGAUCUGAGCGGAAAGAGCGUUUCGCUGUUUCUGCUCGGAAAACUCAGUCGAACCUUAUCAUUUAGAGGAAGGAGAAGUCGUAACA
rnacentral:rRNA from 1 species